rnacentral:rRNA from 1 species
UACAGAGACCUCUAGCGUUAUCCGGAUUUACUGGGCGUAAAGGGUCCGCAGGUGGUUUUGUAAGUCUUCGGUUAAAUUCUUGAGCUCAACUCGAGAACCGCCGAGGAAACUAUAAGACUAGAGACCGGGAGAGGCAAGCGGAAUUGCCGGUGUAGUAGUAAAAUGCGUUAAUAUCGGCAAGAACACCAAAUGCGAAGGCAGCUUGCUAGAACGGUUCUGACACUCAGGGACGAAAGCGUGGGGAGCGAUACGG